rnacentral:rRNA from 1 species
UACGGGGGGAGCAAGCGUUGUUCGGAUUUACUGGGCGUAAAGGGCGCGUAGGCGGCCACCGCAAGUCGACUGUGAAAUCUCCGGGCUUAACCCGGAAAGGUCAACCGAUACUGCGGGGCUAGAGUGCGGAAGGGGCAACUGGAAUUCUUGGUGUAGCGGUGAAAUGCGUAGAUAUCGUAAGGAAGACCAGUGGCGAAGGCGGGUCUCUGGACAGUUCCUGACGCUGAGGCACGAAGGCCAGGGGAGCAAACGGG